rnacentral:rRNA from 1 species
AGAGUUUGAUCCUGGCUCAGGAUGAACGCUGGCGGUAUGCUUAACACAUGCAAGUCGAACGAAGCCUUCGGGCUUAGUGGCGGACGGGUGAGUAACGCGUGAGAAUCUGCCUUCAGGUCUGGGACAACCACUGGAAACGGUGGCUAAUACCGGAUGUGCUUCACGGUGAAAGAUUAAUCGCCUGGAGAUGAGCUCGCGUCUGAUUAGCUAGUUGGUGGGGUAAGAGCCUACCAAGGCGACGAUCAGUAACUGGUCUGAGAGGAUGAUCAGUCACACUGGAACUGAGACACGGUCCAGACUCCUACGGGAGGCAGCAGUGGGGAAUUUUCCGCAAUGGGCGAAAGCCUGACGGAGCAAUACCGCGUGAGGGAGGAAGGCUCUUGGGUUGUAAACCUCUUUUCUCAGGGAAGAAGACAAUGACGGUACCUGAGGAAUAAGCAUCGGCUAACUCCGUGCCAGCAGCCGCGGUAAUACGGAGGAUGCAAGCGUUAUCCGGAAUGAUUGGGCGUAAAGCGUCCGCAGGUGGUUUUGUAAGUCUGCUGUUAAAGCGUCAUGCUCAACAUGAUAAAGGCAGUGGAAACUACUGAACUCGAGUGCGUUCGGGGCAGAGGGAAUUCCUGGUGUAGCGGUGAAAUGCGUAGAGAUCAGGAAGAACACCGGUGGCGAAAGCGCUCUGCUAGGCCGCAACUGACACUGAGGGACGAAAGCUAGGGGAGCGAAUGGGAUUAGAUACCCCAGUAGUCCUAGCCGUAAACGAUGGAUACUAGGUGUUGCUUGUAUCGACCCGAGCAGUACCGUAGCUAACGCGUUAAGUAUCCCGCCUGGGGAGUACGCACGCAAGUGUGAAACUCAAAGGAAUUGACGGGGGCCCGCACAAGCGGUGGAGUAUGUGGUUUAAUUCGAUGCAACGCGAAGAACCUUACCAGGACUUGACAUGUCGCGAAUUUCGGUGAAAGCUGAAAGUGCCUUCGGGAGCGCGAACACAGGUGGUGCAUGGCUGUCGUCAGCUCGUGUCGUGAGAUGUUGGGUUAAGUCCCGCAACGAGCGCAACCCUCGUUCUUAGUUGCCAGCAUUCAGUUGGGCACUCUAGGGAGACUGCCGGUGACAAACCGGAGGAAGGUGGGGAUGACGUCAAGUCAGCAUGCCCCUUACGUCCUGGGCUACACACGUACUACAAUGCUACGAACAAAGGGCAGCGACACAGCGAUGUGAUGCAAAUCUCAGAAAUCGUGGCUCAGUUCAGAUCGCAGGCUGCAACUCGCCUGCGUGAAGUCGGAAUCGCUAGUAAUUGCAGGUCAGCAUACUGCAGUGAAUUCGUUCCCGGGCCUUGUACACACCGCCCGUCACACCAUGGAAGCUGGUAGUGCCCGAAGUCAUUACCCCAACCUUUCGAGGAGGGGGAUGCCUAAGGCAGGACUGGUGACUGGGGUGAAGUCGUAACAAGGUAGCCGUACCGGAAGGUGUGGCUGGAUCA